rnacentral:rRNA from 1 species
GACGAACGCUGGCGGCGUGCCUAAUACAUGCAAGUCGAACGCUGAAGGAGGAGCUUGCUUCUCUGGAUGAGUUGCGAACGGGUGAGUAACGCGUAGGUAACCUGCCUGGUAGCGGGGGAUAACUAUUGGAAACGAUAGCUAAUACCGCAUAACAGUAGAUAUCGCAUGAUAUCUACUUGAAAGGUGCAAUUGCAUCACUACCAGAUGGACCUGCGUUGUAUUAGCUAGUUGGUGAGGUAACGGCUCACCAAGGCGACGAUACAUAGCCGACCUGAGAGGGUGAUCGGCCACACUGGGACUGAGACACGGCCCAGACUCCUACGGGAGGCAGCAGUAGGGAAUCUUCGGCAAUGGACGGAAGUCUGACCGAGCAACGCCGCGUGAGUGAAGAAGGGUUUCGGAUCGUAAAGCUCUGUUGUAAGAGAAGAACGAGUGUGAGAGUGGAAAGUUCACACUGUGACGGUAGCUUACCAGAAAGGGACGGCUAACUACGUG